UAAAGGUAUAAAAGAGAAGGUCAGCGUUCAGAGCAGCAUCACAACAACUCCAGAUCUUCUUCUGAGACAGUAAAGACUUGACUGAGUGAAAUCAUGCUGAAGUUAGCGCUUGUGCUUGGAUGUCUCCUGAGCCUCACUCUGGCUCAACCCAUGGAGCAUCAGAGAGUGGCUCGUUCCAGCUCAGACUCCAACUCUGGAUCUAACUCGAAUGAAGCAACCACCACCACUGCUACAACAACUACAGCUGCAGGAACUACACUAUCAGUGAACCAGCUGAUUGCUCAACUGGUGGCACUACUAGGAUAAAAUUAAGUCUGCCAUGGAGCCAGAAUUCAACUAGUGCU